GCUGGGUGAGGUGGUGCAUACCUGUAAUCCCAGCGGCUCAGGAGGCUGAAUGAGGCAGGAGGAUCCUGAGUUCAAAGUCAGCCUCAGCAACAGUGAGGGGAUAAGCAACUCAGUGAGACCCUGUCUCUA
rnacentral:sRNA from 1 species